AUCCUGGCUCAGGAUGAACGCUGGCGGCGUGCCUAACACAUGCAAGUCGAACGGGAAUCUUCGGAUUCUAGUGGCGGACGGGUGAGUAACGCGUAAGAAUCUAACUUCAGGACGGGGACAACAGUUGGAAACGACUGCUAAUACCCGAUAUGCCGCAAGGUGAAACCUAAUUGGCCUGGAGAAGAGCUUGCGUCUGAUUAGCUAGUUGGUGGGGUAAGAGCCUACCAAGGCGACGAUCAGUAGCUGGUCUGAGAGGAUGAGCAGCCACACUGGGACUGAGACACGGCCCAGACUCCUACGGGAGGCAGCAGUGGGGAAUUUUCCGCAAUGGGCGAAAGCCUGACGGAGCAACGCCGCGUGAGGGAGGAAGGUCUUUGGAUUGUAAACCUCUUUUCUCAAGGAAGAAGUUCUGACGGUACUUGAGGAAUCAGCCUCGGCUAACUCCGUGCCAGCAGCCGCGGUAAUACGGGGGAGGCAAGCGUUAUCCGGAAUUAUUGGGCGUAAAGCGUCCGCAGGUGGU
rnacentral:rRNA from 1 species